ACCUAAUAGAUACCCCGGUAGUCCUAGCCCUAAACGAUGAUCGCUUGGUGUGGCGGGUAUCCAACCCUGCCGUGCCGUAGCUAAACGCGUUAAGCGAUCCGCCUGGGGAGUACGGUCGCAAGACUGAAACUCAAAGGAAUUGACGGGGGCCCGCACAAGCGGUGGAGCAUGUGGUUUAAAUUCGACGCAACGCGAAGAACCUUACCUGGGCUCGAAAUGGUGUGGACCGGGGUAGAAAUAUCCCUUCCUAGCAAUAGGCUGCACUAUAGGUGCUGCAUGGCUGUCGUCAGCUCGUGUCGUGAGAUGUUGGGUUAAGUCCCGCAACGAGCGCAACCCUUAUCUCCAGUUGCCAUCAUUUAGUUGGGCACUCUGGCGAAACCGCCUCGGAUAACGGGGAGGAAGGUGGGGAUGACGUCAAGUCCUCAUGGCCUUUAUGUCCAGGGCUACACACGUGCUACAAUGGCCGGUAUAAACCGUUGCAAACCCGCGAGGGGAGCUAAUCGGAAAAAGCCGGCCUCAGUUCGGAUCGCAGUCUGCAACUCGACUGC
rnacentral:rRNA from 1 species